AAGAACAUGGUACUAGGUGUGCGUGAAGUCUUUGGAGUCUGACAGGCCUGCACUGGAAACCAGCCCUGUCACACAACACUUCCCCAACCUUGGGCGAGUCACACAAAGCCUCUGAGCCUCUAUUUUCCUCAUCUGUGAAAAUGAUCGCUGGAGUAGGUGAGGCUCAGACAAGAUCAUGAACAUGAACGCAUUUUGAAAUUCAUGAGAAAUCUGAGGAAUGCUCUCUGGGACCACCGCCUGGCCUGCCUCUGCCUCAUUGAUUCCAGGGAGACCUUCACUGCCAGAACAUCCCAAGGUAACUCCUCAUUCAGGUUUGAGGGAUUUGCUCCCGGUAAAAAGACUUAUCCAAGUUCUCCCUCCUUUCCUCAGCAAUGAGGCAGCA